rnacentral:rRNA from 1 species
CCUACGGGUGGCAGCAGUGGGGAAUAUUGCACAAUGGGGGAAACCCUGAUGCAGCGACGCCGCGUGAGUGAAGAAGUAAUUCGUUACGUAAAGCUCUAUCAGCAGGGAAGAAACACUGACCUUACGGUCAGCAGACGGUACCUGAGUAAGAAGCCCCGGCUAACUACGUGCCAGCAGCCGCGGUAAUACGUAGGGGGCAAGCGUUAUCCGGAUUUACUGGGUGGAAAGGGAGCGUAGACGGUGCGCCAAGUCUGGAGUGAAAUGCCGCAGCUUAACUGCGGAACUGCUUUGGAAACUGGCGAACUAGAGUGCGGGAGGGGUAAGCGGAAUUCCUAGUGGAGCGGUGAAAUGCGUAGAUAGUAGGAGGAACACCGGUGGCGAAGGCGGCUUACUGGACCGUAACUGACGUUGAGGCUCGAAAGCGUGGGGAGCAAACAGGAUUAGAUAUCCCGGUAGUC